rnacentral:lncRNA from 1 species
UGUGUAAGUCUCUAUUGGUUUCUCCUCUAUUCCUUGUGUUCCCUGUUCUUGUGCAUUUUUCUGGGUGGGGUUUGGUUCAUGCUUUUCUUCUUUUUCUUACACAGGAAGUUGGACUUUGUUGUCCACUUGCUUGCCAGACCGUAAAGUGGUAAUUGCCUAGACUUCAUGGGUAGGGUUUCCACUAGAAUCAAUAUGAAACUGGCCUCUCGGCCCUUGAUUCUGUUGCUUACUAGGGUUAGGCACUGGCUGACUGGGCAAUUCACCUUUCUUCCUAUCCCCUAGAGAGUUGGCUAUUUGGCUCAGACUAACCUUAAGUUUUGCAAUCGCUUGC